rnacentral:tRNA from 1 species
AGUCCCAUAACUCAGUUGGUCAGAGUAUCGUGCUAAUAAUGCGAACGUCGAGAGUUCGAGCCUCUCUGGGACCA